AGGCGUGUGGUGCAGCCAAGGAUGACUUGCCGGCAAUACUUAGCUUGUCAUUCUCCAAUGCAUGCAUGUUGUUGUGAGAAUGAGCUGAUCGGCAAGUCGUCUCUGGCUACAUUAUUGCCUCC
rfam:Prunus persica cultivar Lovell chromosome G3, whole genome shotgun sequence.